UACAGAGGGGGCAAGCGUUAUUCGGAAUUAUUGGGCGUAAAGGGCGCGUAGGCGGCCUGGCAAGUGGAAGGUGAAAUCCCUCGGCUUAACCGAGGAACUGCCUCCCAAACUGCUUGGCUUGAGACCGGGAGAGGUGAGUGGAAUUCCCAGUGUAGCGGUGAAAUGCGUAGAUAUUGGGAGGAACACCAGUGGCGAAGGCGGCUCACUGGACCGGUACUGACGCUGAGGAGCGAAAGCAUGGGGAGCGAACAGG
rnacentral:rRNA from 1 species